rnacentral:rRNA from 1 species
GACAGAGGGUGCAAACGUUGUUCGGAAUUACUGGGCGUAAAGCGUGCGCAGGCGGCUAUGCAAGACAGAUGUGAAAUCCCCGGGCUCAACCUGGGAACUGCAUUUGUGACUGCACGGCUAGAGUGUGUCAGAGGGGGGUAGAAUUCCACGUGUAGCAGUGAAAUGCGUAGAGAUGUGGAGGAAUACCGAUGGCGAAGGCAGCCCCCUGGGAUAACACUGACGCUCAUGCACGAAAGCGUGGGGAGCAAACAGG